rnacentral:tRNA from 1 species
UGCCAUGUAGCUUAGACGGUAGAAGCGCCAACCUUAUAAGUUGGAGAUAGUGGGAUCAUUACCCAUCAUGGCUACAA